rnacentral:rRNA from 1 species
UACGUAGGGUGCGAGCGUUGUCCGGAAUUACUGGGCGUAAAGCGUGCGCAGGCGGUUCGUUAAGUCAGCUGUGAAAGCCCGGGGCUCAACUCCGGAAUUGCCUUUAAGACUGCAUCGCUAGAAUUGUGGAGAGGUAAGUGGAAUUCCGAGUGUAGAGGUGAAAUUCGUAGAUAUUCGGAAGAACACCAGUGGCGAAGGCGACUUACUGGACACAUAUUGACGCUGAGGUGCGAAAGCGUGGGGAGCAAACAGG